CCCUAGUAACGGCGAGUGAAGCGGCAACAGCUCAAAUUUGAAAUCUGGCGCAAGCCCGAGUUGUAAUUUGUAGAGGAUGCUUCUAGGUAGCGACCGGUCUAAGUUCCUUGGAACAGGACGUCAUAGAGGGUGAGAAUCCCGUAUGUGACCGGCCCGCACCUUCUACGUAGCUCCUUCGACGAGUCGAGUUGUUUGGGAAUGCAGCUCUAAAUGGGAGGUAAAUUUCUUCUAAAGCUAAAUACCGGCCAGAGACCGAUAGCGCACAAGUAGAGUGAUCGAAAGAUGAAAAGCACUUUGGAAAGAGAGUUAAAAAGCACGUGAAAUUGUUGAAAGGGAAGCGCUUACAACCAGACUUCUGGGCGGUGUUCCGCCGGUCUUUUGACCGGUCUACUCGCCGUCCCGAGGCCAACAUCAUCUGGGACCGCUGGAUAAGACCUCAGGAAUGUAGCUCCCCUCGGGGAGUGUUAUAGCCUGUGGUGAUGCAGCGCGUCUCGGGUGAGGUCCGCGCUUCGGCAAGGAUGUUGGCGUAAUGGUUGUCAGCGGCCCGUCUUGAAACACGGACCAAGGAGUCUAACAUCUAUGCGAGUGUUCGGGUGUCAAACCCCUACGCGUAAUGAAAGUGAACGGAGGUGGGAAGGGCAACCUGCACCAUCGACCGAUCCUGAUGUCCUCGGAUGGAUUUGAGUAAGAGCAUAGCUGUUGGGACCCGAAAGAUGGUGAACUAUGCCUGAAUAGGGUGAAGCCAGAGGAAACUCUGGUGGAGGCUCGCAGCGGUUCUGA
rnacentral:rRNA from 1 species